rnacentral:lncRNA from 1 species
UAUUAUAUUUUAACUCCUAACGCUAUAGAAUGCUUGGUCGAGAAGGAAACCAAGAAACAUUACUCAUUUGUAAACGCUAUAUAGAAACCGACCAAUAAUAGUUUUUUAUAAAUUAGAUUGAGAAAGAUAUUAAGAUGGGUUUGCAGAAUUUCAUUAGUAUAAUUGUAAUUGUGAAUCAUUUCCAAGUGGAUUCGUCUAUAACUUCCACCAUUCUUCACUGUUUAAACUAUAGGGGCAAAACCCAGUAUAACUGUAUCAGAAGAAAAGAUAAGGCCUUGGGCUUGGCGUGGGUCUGCCCUCCAUUGAAAGUGACAUUUUUUUAUUAUUCAAUUUCUUGAUGUGAGAUCCAGGAGAGAGACUAGAAUUCAAGUAAGCGAAAGAGAGAAUCAGCAAAAUAUUGAAAUAUUAUAUAUAAAUUCUUGGUGGGAAUUCGUCAGUGAAGAUGAUAAUAAGUUAUCCAGGCCUUUCAAAGCUCAAAACCAAGGAGGUAUGUGCUGUUUAUUUACACCUUUAUACGUAUGUUUCUUGAUGCUUUCAGUUUAAGAGAAAAUAUUGAAUUCUUGGAGUGAGCAAUUUUGUAUUAUCUCAGACUUUCAUGUUUAAAUUUAGAUAUUUCUAAUGGAAGUACAUAAGGAGUUGUUAUAUCUUUAUUUUGUGGUUGUUUAUCAAUUCAAAUUUGAAUGAAAUCAUUUUAAUUUUACCAAAAAUUCUGCUACCAAACUGGCCUAAUUUUAGCAAGUGAACGCAAUGAAAUAAUUGCAGCGACAUAUUUGUUUAUAUUGUACAGUGUGUCACUUCAAAGUUCCCAACUUUUGGUUGUUAUGGUAAUAAGUUGCUCUGAAUUAUACUAGUAAAAAAA